rnacentral:rRNA from 1 species
AUUGAACGCUGGCGGCGUGCUUAACACAUGCAAGUCGAUCGGUAACAGGUGUAGCAAUACAUGCUGACGAGAGGCGGACGGGUGAGUAAUGCUUGGGAAUCUGCCUAUUAGUGGGGGACAACCCGGGGAAACUCGGGCUAAUACCGCAUACGCUCUACGGAGGAAAGCCGGGGACCGCAAGGCCUGGCGCUAAUAGAUAAGCCCAAGUCGGAUUAGCUAGUUGGUAGGGUAACGGCCACCAAGGCGACAAUCCGUAGCUGGUCUGAGAGGACGACCAGCCACACCGGAACUGAGACACGGUCCGGACUCCUACGGGAGGGCAGCAGUGGGGAAGUCUUGCGCAAUGGGCGAAAGCCUGACGCAGCGACGCCGCGUGAGGGAUGACGGCCU